CAUGAUGAUGCGGUAAGACGAAUGAUCGCAUAUUAAAAGAGAAAUAUUUCUUUACGGAUUCAAAACAUAUCAUCACUUUUAAUGGCAAAAAUAAACAUAAAAUUCAAAGACGAUAAACUUACCAAAUUCAGAAUGGACGACGUAAAAUGUCAAUUAAAUAGCGUAUGUUUCCCCAUGAAGUAGCCUGCCGAAAGAAAUGCUCUUUUACAUUGGAUUCGUGGGAUUUACUACACAGAACACAAAAGCAUUACAAUAUUAUGACGCCAAAAAUGCAAAAAGUAAGGAAAAUCUACAGCCACUGCCAAUGAUGUCAAACAAUACAGCCUCCUUUUCGUGUAUUCAAAACCACAAGAUCUAAGAAUAAAUUUUCAUACAAAGACUCUAGAGAAAACGACUGAGUUUACACACAAACAGGAAAACUCUUGGAUUUCUGGACUAUAAGUUAGUUCUAGAUGUUUAUAAACACUCAUAGCAUAUAUACGUUAGUGUAUUACACGAAGGUAUUGUUGUUAGCAUAAAAAACUUUGAAAGAAGAAUUCUCCAAAAUUUUUUAGCUAUAUUACAGAGUACAGAUCAUUGUUGAGAGUUCUGAUAGUUACAACCAAUGUAGUUAUGUAGGAGCAAUCAGCAGAACAACCGUCCGCAGGAUUAAA